rnacentral:rRNA from 1 species
AAAGUCCUACGGGGGGCAGCAGUGGGGAAUAUUGGGCAAUGGGCGCAAGCCUGACCCAGCGACGCCGCGUGAGGGAAGACGGUCUUCGGAUUGUAAACCUCUUUCAGCAGGGAAGACAAAAGGACGGUACCUGCAGAAGAAGCCACGGCUAACUACGUGCCAGCAGCCGCGGUAAUACGUAGGUGGCAAGCGUUAUCCGGAAUUACUGGGUGUAAAGGGUGUGUAGGCGGGGCUUGAAGUCAGAUGUGUAAAUUAUGGGCUCAACCCAUAAACUGCGUCUGAAACUGUAGCUCUUGA